UUAGCAUUCGUCGCCAACGAGAAAUUGGGGUCGGCCCGAAAGCUCUAGAAUGCACCCCUAUUCCUCCCCGGGGCCAUUCCCGCUCAACGAGUUUUAUGACCUAAAAAACCCCACAGGCUGGUCUGAAGGUCGGAGGCCUAAUUUUAACGCGUUUUCCUCCCUUUAAUUUGAAACGGGAACGCGAAUAACUAAAAUGUGGGCACAAUAUUUAACCUCUUGCUUUUUUAAAGCUUAAUAAUGGAUAGUAGGGGGCAGUAUCAAGGGAUAAUUUGGGUCCCCACAGUACCAAAGCAUUUAGAAACCUCUGCUUAAUUUAAGGAAUGAGAUAAAUUACUGCUUUUCUAGAUUUGGUAGCAUGGGCUGUUGUGCUGGAGAGAACGAGAGCUACGAAGAGACUAGAAUGCCUCUGACUUUUUCAUAGGACAGUUGGCCGAGGAAGACACUUAAAGAUGAAGUGCUUAAUUCAAGGUCACAGAAUGUCGGGGAUGGACCUCCAGAUUUCCUUACUGGUGAGACGUGGUCUUGUAACACAGUGGUUAAGAAUGUGACUUUGGAGCCAGCCUGCUAGGGGCUGAAUUCUGACUCAGCCAUUUAUUAACUGUGUGACCUUAGGGAGGAGGACCUGGUUGAUAGAAGAAUUUAUCUCAUAGUCUUAACAUCCACU
rnacentral:antisense_RNA from 1 species